rnacentral:rRNA from 1 species
GCCGGCGACCGGCGCACGGGUGCGUAACGCGUAUCAAACCUGCCUCAUACUCGGGGAUAGCCUUGCGAAAGUAAGAUUAAUACCCGAUGUUGUUGCUUUCUCGCAUGGGAGAGUAACCAAAGAUUUAUCGGUAUGAGAUGGUGAUGCGUCCGAUUAGGUAGUAGGCGGGGUAACGGCCCACCUAGCCUUCGAUCGGUAGGGGUUCUGAGAGGAAGGUCCCCCACACUGGAACUGAGACACGGUCCAGACUCCUACGGGAGGCAGCAGUGAGGAAUAUUGGUCAAUGGGCGAGAGCCUGAACCAGCCAAGUAGCGUGCAGGAUGACGGCCCUCCGGGUUGUAAACUGCUUUUAGUUGGGAAUAAAAAAAGGGACGUGUCCCUUCUUGUAUGUACCUUCAGAAAAAGGACCGGCUAAUUCCGUGCCAGCAGCCGCGGUAAUACGGAAGGUCCAGGCGUUAUCCGGAUUUAUUGGGUUUAAAGGGAGCGUAGGCGGAUUGUUAAGUCAGCGGUUAAAGGGUGUGGCUCAACCAUGCAUUGCCGUUGAAACUGGCGAUCUUGAGUGCAGACAGGGAUGCCGGAAUUCGUGGUGUAGCGGUGAAAUGCUUAGAUAUCACGAAGAACUCCGAUCGCGAAGGCAGGUGUCCGGGCUGCAACUGACGCUGAGGCUCGAAAGUGUGGGUAUCAAACAGGAUUAGAUACCCUGGUAGUCCACACAGUAAACGAUGUAUACUCGCGGUUUGCGAUAGACAGUAAGCCGCCAAGCGAAAGCAUUAAGUAUACCACCUGG